GACUAAUCAUAGUUUCUGUCACAGUCCACUGUUGCUUUCACUGCCCCUCUCACUCAUGCACUGUCCAACUAUUUGAUUUUGCACCAUCUUUUUGUCUUUCCAGCUCUUAAAUCCAUCAGGAUUCACGCCAGGACCCGAGAGCCAGCUCAGCUCACCCGCCCCUCUCCUGCUGCUUCACCCUCCACAUCCAUGCUUAAUUCCUUGAUUUCAUCGUUCUCUUUUCUCGGAGCUUAUUUGUGCCUCCCUCCACGUCGGAGACCUUCCUCUGGUGCUGAGUGAGCGAGGAAAUGGAUGGAAGAUGGGUGGCAUGGUGAUGCUUAUCAGGGGCCGCGGGCCAGGGAGGCAGCAGGCUAAGCAAGGGAAUCCAGACUCCUUCUCCUCAGCAACAUCUUCCAGCUCCACCUGGGGGAGUGUUUGCUGGAGGACACGGUCUGAUGGGGGGGCCAACAGAACCACAUCUUCAGCAAAAAGCAGGAAAGCAAUUGUAAGAUCCCCAAACAGGAGAUGCCCUCCCUACCCACCCUGCUGUACGUUCAGAUCCUGUCCAUAACAAAAGAAUAUGGUUUGCAUUGGAAAUUUUUUUAUCAUUUUU